AUGAUAACAGAAUUCUAUGAAUUUCAUUUUGAUUUUGUUUCUUCCUAGGACUUACACAAAAUAAACAUGCAUCAGGAUCCUCAAAGACAAGAAAAGAUUGAGAAAACGUGGAAGGUGGCAAAGGCUAAGGAGAAAUAACAACUGAAUGUAAAGCGGAUCCUGGAUCAGAAAAAAAGACAUUAGUGGGAAAAUGGCAGAAUUUCCAUUAAGAUCUGCAGCUCAGUUUAUAAUGUUGUACCACCGUGAAGUUCCUGUUCUCAAAAUAUCUACAAUUAGUUAUGUGGUUCCCUUUAGAGCAAGAGGGCUUGUGAGAUGUUAUAAAGACUGUACAUGGCCUGUUGUUGUACCUCUUCUAUAAUAUGAAAGUGAGUUGACAACUCCUUCAGGGACAAUCACAUUCACACAUUCAAUGAAGACUUGAGACAAGGAUCCUACCGCACAUCCUAGGCUUCCCUUGCCACCUCUUCAGACUGGUAUGGAGGGAAUGUGGCUGACUUUGAGUCGGAGUUCCCUCUUGUCCAGCAAGAAAAUGGAUGCAGAAUUGAAUACAAGAGAGGCUAAUGUCCGGGAGGAGACGAGAGCCCCAAGAUCUGCAAAACGAGGACUGAGCAGAUCACCUCCACAUUUCUUCCACGCUACAAUUCUAUGAAUUGGAAAUAAGGAGACUUCAGUAGGAUCCAUACCAUAGAGUUGUGAGGGGUGAAUGAGAGAAGCCAUGUAAAGCAUGAAGCCCAGGAAUAGGAACAGUAAGCGUUUGAGAAUGGAAAUUGCUGUUACCAUUAUCAUCAACAAGAAGUGCAAAAAGUCCAUUUUCCUAAAAAAGAAAUUGUAUAUUUAUAGAAACCACAUUGUUUAUCAUUUAUGAUCAGUUUUAAAGACAUAAGAAGUUUUAAUAUUGGUGUCAAAUGUGAAUUUUCUUUAUUAAAAUAUAAACAAAAAUAAACCCAUGUGUCAGCUGAGAGAGGGGGAUGUUUGUUAUUCAGUGGGCCACAGAGGGACCUUGUUUUAUUUGAUGUUGUCAUGGUC
rnacentral:lncRNA from 1 species